rnacentral:rRNA from 1 species
UGGGGAAUAUUGGACAAUGGGCGAAAGCCUGAUCCAGCAAUGCCGCGUGAGUGAUGAAGGCCUUAGGGUUGUAAAGCUCUUUUACCAGGGAUGAUAAUGACAGUACCUGGAGAAUAAGCUCCGGCUAACUCCGUGCCAGCAGCCGCGGUAAUACGGAGGGAGCUAGCGUUGUUCGGAAUUACUGGGCGUAAAGCGUACGUAGGCGGUGACUCAAGUCAGAGGUGAAAGCCUGGAGCUCAACUCCAGAACUGCCUUUGAAACUAGGUCGCUAGAAUCACGGAGAGGUGAGUGGAAUUCCGAGUGUAGAGGUGAAAUUCGUAGAUAUUCGGAAGAACACCAGUGGCGAAGGCGGCUCACUGGACGUGUAUUGACACUGAGGUACGAAAGCGUGGGGAGCAAACAGGAUUAGAUACCCCAGUAGUCCCUGAGCGGGCUGGCAAGGCGCAU